rnacentral:rRNA from 1 species
GAGUUUGAUCCUGGUUCAGAACGAACGCUGGCGGCGUGCUUAACACAUGCAAGUCCAACGUGGAAGGGGAGCAAUCCCCCGGUAAGGUGGCGAACGGGUGAGUAAUACAUGGGAAUCUGCCCUGGAGAUGGGGAUAUCCCUCCGAAAGGGGGGCUAAUACCGAAUACCGUCCGAGGUCCGGGAGGACUUUGGGGAAAGGGAGGCCUCUGGCAACACGCUUCCGCUCCGGGAGGAGCCCAUGGCCCAUCAGCUAGUUGGUAGGGUAACGGCCUACCAAGGCAAAGACGGGUAGCUGGUCUGAGAGGACGAUCAGCCACACUGGCACUGAGACACGGGCCAGACUCCUACGGGAGGCAGCAGUGAGGAAUUUUGCACAAUGGGGGCAACCCUGAUGCAGCAACGCCGCGUGUGGGAAGAAGGCUUUCGGGUUGUAAACCACCUUUGCGAAGGACGAAGCCCUGGGGCCAAAUACGCCCAGGGGGUGACGGUACUUUACGAAUAAGCCACGGCUAACUCUGUGCCAGCAGCCGCGGUAAGACAGGGGUGGCAAGCGUUGUUCGGAGUGACUGGGCGUAAGGUCUGUAGGUGGUUUUCCAGUCUU